GGAGUGCACAAGACAAGGCAUCAGCACAUAAAAUAAAUAAAUAGGGGGAGAGGAAGCAUCUUUGGCGAAGACCAUCAAUCAAGCGAAAAAACUCCGUUAGAGUGUCAUUGACCAAAAUAGCAAAGCUUGGAGACUCCACACAGUCUAUAACCCAGUCGAUCCAUCUAUCGGGAAAGCUAAACUCACGGAGUGAGCGUCGCAGGAAGCACCAACUAAU
rnacentral:lncRNA from 1 species